UAGUCCACGCCCUAAACGAUGCUAACUCGAUGUGUGGGCAGUAAGCACUGCGCAUCCAAGGGAAACCGUUAAGUUAGCCACCUGGGGAGUACGUUCGCAAGAAUGAAACUCAAAGGAAUUGACGGGGGUCCGCACAAGCGGUGGAACAUGUGGUUUAAUUCGAUGAUACGCGAGGAACCUUACCUGGGCUCGAAUUUAGAGAGCCCGGUGCCGAAAGGUACUUUUCUCUUCGGAGACUGUCUAGAAGGUGCUGCAUGGUUGUCGUCAGCUCGUGCCGUGAGGUGUUGGGUUAAGUCCCGCAACGAGCGCAACCCCUUUCUUUAGUUGCCAGCGAGUAAUGUCGGGGACUCUAGAGAUACUGCCUGUGCAAGCAGAGAGGAAGGAGGGGACGACGUCAAAUCAUCAUGGCCUUUAUGCCUAGGGCUACACACGUGCUACAAUGGCAGGUACAGAGGGUAGCGAAGCCGCAAGGUGGAGCCAAUCCCAAAAAGCCUGUCCCAGUUCGGAUUGGGGUCU
rnacentral:rRNA from 1 species